GUUUUCAGUGAGAAAACAGUUAAGAAGCUUUGUUGUCUCCAUGAUAAAAAGAGUCGUCCUGGUUACGUUUCUGCGGAUUAAAAAGGAAAGGAUGUCCCUAGAUUAGCUAGAGCAGUGAGGUGACUUAAGUUACUAAUAUCCAGCCAAUGUUUUCCUUCUAGGCAAUUCCUUCUAGGCAAUUCUAGGAGAUUGGACUGUUGUAAAUUCUGAUGGGAACUUCUGGUCCCUUUCAGAAUUGGCAAGACAUCUUGUAGAAGAAUUUCAUCGCAGUAGCUGUGAAAUUGAAUUGCAGUUCAAUACCUGGUAAGUGGGGUUUUUUCCUUGUGAGAAUUGAUGAUAAACGAAUCAGGUCCAUAGUUCAACUAAUCCUCCUGCUAGAUUAAAAAAAAGGGGGGUCUAGAAUCCUUAAAAAUAAAGGACGAUCAUAGGGAUGUAAUUUUCAAAGGAGUUGAACUCCUUUAGAUAGAAAAGGGGAGUUAAUCCUUUUCCAUUUGUAACUGGGUGACUGUCAGUGAACGUACAGUCAUUUCCCUGUCAUUGGGCGUUACUAUGUCCUUCAAAUGUCUUUGAAUAAUUAUUAAGGGUUCCAUCGAUAACUCAUAACCAGGAAUCAAUUUGGUUUUGUAUACUAUUGAAAUCCAAGUCUUUCAGAUUAUGGGACAAGCCCAGAUGAAACAAAUCAGCGCAGGUGGAAUCAUGUCUCCGGCGUUUGUCUGUUUUAGUGGUAAACAUUCAGCUUAAUCUCCGUAGUUUAAAGUCCUACCUGAAUAUUAAUUUAUACAAAUUUUCGUUAAGGUUCAUUCAGAUUUUGAAGUGUGCAAUAUGUUUCCACUUCUGUGUCAUUUGUGAAAUGUACACAUGUCUCUCCUCCCAUUUAUAACGAUGGGAAGCAGAUUCACAAAUUAUCUACAUUUAAUAAGGCUUGGUUUCCUUUGCAAAAUAUAAUUUUCUUUUGUGUGUUGGGGUUAGAGGCUUACUUUGUCCCUCUUCCUUGUUUCAUGACACCGUCAAGUGUUCUUCUUAGAAAUGUGCGCAUAAGGAAAACUAUUUGUCUGUAGCAUGAUGUGCUGAUAGCUUCAGGUACUGUAUUGCGUUGUUGAUACCUGAGCAUGUUUUUUCCUAUCUACUUGGCACUGCAAACUACCAGGCAUUUUUGUUUCAUAUCUAUUUAUUUGGGCAUAUACGUCAAUCAAUCAAUCAAUCAAUCAAUCAAUCUUUAUUACGGUCCAGAGACCCAACAAAUCAUUAUAAAGCAAUACACAAUUCAUACAGCCCACCUCCAGGUCAAACAAGCAUUUUGUUCAAAAUAUAGGGAUCAUUUGUUCUUGCAACCACCGAUAAAAACUUUGCCACUGCUACUGUUCUAGCAUUUGUCCGGUCUUCCAAUAGGAACCUGACAUAGUGAGCCUCUGAUUUUCCUGGGAAAGGUAUCAUCAAGGGUAGUAUCAGUUCAGCCCUGGCUUGCUCAUAUUUUGCACAAUGCAACAAAAUAUGUUUUAUGGCAUAUAUGUACAAAUCGCAGCCAGCUUCAGACUCCCUUCUACAUAGCUAUGAUUUGUUGAAAUAAGCCAGGGUCAUGGUUUGAUGAUGUCCUUUUCAAAUAUAACAAUAAACUAUACUUAUUGAAAAAUAGAAAGCAGAUGCUUCUAAUCUCCUCACACCGUGGAAAGGACAGGAGAGGGUGUAAACCUAAGGCCUGCUUAACUGAACUAGACUGUGUACAUACAUGCAUUGAAGUUUCAUAUGGGUGUUCUUUCUUAAUAUAUAAUUGGACUACCCGCACUUUUAAGAUUCAGUUUUGUACAGUCAAAAUCUCAAGUACGUGGUAGGCCUGAUAAAUAGCACCUGAAGAACUUUGAAACAUUUUUAGGACUGUCAUGGCAAUCUUUCUACGUAAGAAAGUAUAUUUGUUUUGGCAACAGUACUUUCCCCCUGAAGUUGUAUUAGUUCCCACCCUGUGUUUCUCCAUAGGAAAGUGAACUCAACAAGAUACAAGAUUCUGCUUCCUGUUAGCAACCACAUAAAUCACACCCUCCAAAAUUUUGUUGAUGACAAUAGGGAUGUCAGAUUGUCAUUUUAUUUUUUAUUUACUAUUUAUCCCCCACCCAUAUGACUGGGUUGCCCUAGCCACUCUGGGGGCUUUCAAUAUAUAUAAAAAUAUAAUAAAACAUCAAACUUUUUUUUUAAAAAAACUUCCCUGUACAAGGCUGCCUUCAGGUGUCUUCUAAAGGCUAGUUACUUUUCUCCUUGGCUCAGUGGUUGCAUAACUCCAUACCCUCCAACAUUUUCCUGAUGAAAAUAGGGAUGUCCUAAGGCAGGGGUGCCCAAAUUUUUUCCAAAGAGGUCCAGAUUUGAUGAAGUGAACGUGCAUGAGGGCCGACCGAGGUUGUUGAACUUUUUUUAGGAUUGAAGUUGCUGAUCUUUUUUUAGGAUUUUACCCCAGGACAUAUACUGCCACGGGGGCCGAAGUACCGUACUUUUCGCUCUAUAAGACUCGCCGGACCAUAAGACGCACCUAGUUUUAGAGGAGGAGAACAAGAAAAAAAACAUUCUCUCCCUCUCUGCACAGUGCCUCUCCAGCAAAGUGGGAGGAGAAAUGGAAGGGGCUACUUUUCUCUUCCCGCUUUGCUGAAGGGGUGCUGCGCAGAGAUGGAAAGCUGUGCAGCGCCUCUCCACCCAAAGUCAGAACAGCAAGAGGGAUCGCUGUUCUGGCUUCUGGGAUAGCCGUGCCAAGCCUUUUGCAGGCUUGGCACAGCUAUCCCUGAAGCCAGGAGAGCAAGAGGGAUCGGUGUGCACCAGUCCCUCUUGCUUUCCUGGCUUCAGCGAUAGCUGCGCAGCCUGCAUUUGCUCCAUAACACACACACACAUUUCCCCUUAAUUUUUAGGAGGGGGGAAGUGCAUCUUAUAGGGCAAAAAAUACAGUAAAUGUUGGGGGCGCCGCUGUCACGGCGGACCGGAUUAGACCCCCGAAACGGACUUUGGACAUGCCUGUCCUAAGGAAAAGCAGGACAUUCUGGGAUCAAAUCAGGAACCAGGAUGGGUUCUGUAAAUCUGCGACUGUCCCUGGAAAAGAGGACACCUGAACGAUCUGCAUAUACCGCAUUUUUCGCUCCAUAGGACGCACCUGACCAUAGGACGCACCUAGUUUUAGAGGGGGAGAACAACAACAAAAAAUCUCUCCCUCUCUGAGCAGGGCCCCUUCAGCGAAGCAGCAGCAGAAACAAAGCCCCUUCCAUUUCUCCUCCCGCUUUGCUGAAGGGACGCUGCGCAGAGAGGGAGAGCUGCGCAGUGCCUCUCCAGGGAAGCCAGGAGAGCAAGAGGGAUCGGUGCGCACCGAUCCCUCUUGCUCUCCUGGCUUCAGCGAAAGCAACGCAAAGCCUCCGGAGCACGGCGGGAGUGUUCCCACUGCGCUUCGGAGGCUUCGCGUUGCUUUCGCUGAAGCCAUGGAGCCUGCAUUUGCUCCAUAAGACGCACACACAUUUCCCCAUAAUUUUUGGAGGGGAAAAAGUGCGUCUUAUAGAGCAAAAAAUACGGUAUAUAAGAUAAACAGUCCCAUACUGGAAGGCACAUUAAUGAUCUGGGUUUGGAAGGCAUACUUUUCAUCUUUCUGGAGUCCCCAAAUAGGAUGCUGGGUGACCUUGAGCAUGCGAGACAGAUCUAGAUGCUGGCAGAUUGCCUUCUUCCCCAGACUGGGUUGUGUCAGUCGGAUUACUUAGACACACAACUGUGACGUGGGGUGGAGCUAAGGGUCUAAGCUCUGCUGCAGCAUCUUUCCUGGGAGGAGGUGAGGAGUCAGAUUAGAAAGGUGAGAAAAGCACAGAGGGGUCAUUAAGCUGGGUGGCGGCAGCGCACAUGCAUGAACCACAGGCUCUCUUAUGCAGAAGGGCGCACAUGCGUUCCACUUCUCCGUGAUACAGGAGUGUGAGAGGAUAAGCUUGGAUGAGUUUUAUGCACGCUGGUUUUAGGGCUCAACUUUGGAACUGAUAUACCUAGUCCUCUGAAGUUCUGCGUGCCAAGGAAAUUUGAGUACUGAGUCCUAAAACUGCAUUCCUCUUUAUGUACCGUAUUUUUUGCUCUAUAAGACGCACCAGACCAUAAGACGCACCUAGUUUUUGGAGGAGGAAAACAAGAAAAAAAUUAUUCUGAAUCUCAGAAGCCAGAACAGCAAGAGGGAUCGCUGUGCUGUUCUGGCUUCUGGGAUAGUUGCGCAGCCUGCAUUCGCUCCAUAAGACGCACACACAUUUCCCCUUACUUUUUAGGAGGGAAAAAAUGAGAGCAAAAAAUACGGUAAUUAGUAUGUUUCAUUGUUUAGUUGAUUGCUGAUUUCUCCCCAAGCCAUAAAGAACUCUUACCAAGGCUAUGAAUUUUCAAGGGAUGUUUUCUGGAAUCACUGUAUUGGAUAAACAGCAUUAAAAAUGUGUAAGCAGAUUAUAUUAUAUACAGAUUGCUAGGUGUUUGAAAUUCAUUGAACAGUAUUUUACCGUUGAAAACAAAACAAGAAACCCCCUCUGUUUGGCUUGUCAAAUACUGAAUGAUCUAAACCUAGUUAUUUCCUGCAUGAUUCCAUUUCUACCUGUCAUAGGAGCCAACUCCUAGGGGCUGAGGUCCCUCUGUCCCCCCAAUAAAAUAUUUUAAGGGAUUGUCCCCCCAUAUUUAUGGGCAUUACCAUUCAAAUUGUGUGUGUGUGCCUGGUCUUGUGAUUGAUUAUGUGGAGCAGGGCCUAUCUGCCCCCUCCCGUAUUUUAUUCAAAUUGUCACCUCUGUUACCUGUAUAGCUAUGGAAAGUAUAGUAUUCGUUUGUUUCUAUCCCUGCCUAAUCAAAUGAUAACCUAGCACAGACCAGUUAGUUUUGUCAGGCAGGAUAGAAAUUCAGAAAUUAGGUAAUCUAAAAAUUAGACGACCCAAGGUUGAGAAAGGCUGUAUUUAUUAAAAACAACAAGGGCUUUCCUCCUAUUCCGAAUGAUUUAUUCAUUGCAAUUUUUAUCCAGCUUUCUUGACUCUGGAUGUCCCAUAUGCUUUGUUAUUUUUAGGAAAUGGAUGGUUCUGAUCUGAUUUAUAUAACUCCUUUGUUUGAAUGCUGGCGAUAAAUAGGCAGAUUACUUCUGCUUAGCAAAUAGAGUUGUCAAAGGAGUGUAUGUGGAUUUACCCCGAAUUGACAUACCAGCAACUGAAGCUACUGUAUGAGGAAAUCAGGAAAUAGAUGGAGACCUAAAUGAAUAGCUACUGCUGAAGGUGUUUUAGUGCAGGUUUGUGGGAAGAAAACCUGGAAGGAAAUAGUAAUCAGAGGCAGGCAUAACUGUGUUCGUUUACAAAAGUGCAAAUAAUAUAUAGCUGUUAAACCAAUGACUACAGCGGCAUAGACACCAUACAUUCAAUGCAUGUGAUGCCCUCCCCAAUAAUUCUGGAAACUAGUUUGUUAAGGCUGCUGGGAAUUUCAGACCCUCUAAGUGCCCCUAUUUUCCAGAGACAUCCCUGAUUUAGAGAAGCCGUCCCGGUUUCUGAUUUGAUCCCAGAAUGUCUCACUUUCCCCUAUUUUCAUUGGAGAAAUGUUGGAGGGUAUGGAGUUAUUCGAUUCCUGAGCAGUCUGAAGGCAAUCUUGUUCAGGGAAGGGUGGGUUUUUUUUAAAUGAUUAAUGUUUUGUUAUGUUUUUAUAUCUGUUGGAAGCUGCCCAGAGUAGCUGCUGCAACCCAGUAAGAUGUGUGGGGGGUAUAAAUAGUAAAAUUAUCAUUAUGGUACGGGACGUCCCUAUUUUCAUUUGAGAAAUGUUGGAGGGGAUAGCUCUGGAGUGUCUGCAGCCUUUACUUUUAAAAAUCUUGCAGUUUUGGGUUUUUUUUAUAAAAAAAAACAGCCAGGAACCUACUAAAACUCACACUCUCGCCAUGUUAGAGAGAAAUUUCACAACCAACAUUUGCUAUUUAGGUGUGUGGGAUUAUUAUCAUUGUUGUAGUUAUUAUUAGCCGUGCUUUUUUCCCCCGGGGGGGCGCAUACCCCUAAACAUUUUGUGAAUCUUUGUACUUUUGUCCGUUUACUGUAUUCAAUUUCCCCGAUUUGAACUAUAAAAUGGUGGUUUUCUUGAGUCAAAAUGAGAAUACAGUGGUACCUCGGGUUAAGUACUUAAUUCGUUCUGGAGGUCCGUACUUAAGCUGAAACUGUUCUUAACCUGAAGCACCACUUUAGCUAAUGGGGCCUCCCACUGCCGCCGCACGAUUUCUGUUCUCAUCCUGAAGCAAAGUUCUUAACCUGAAGCGCUGUUUCUAGGUUAGCGGAGUCUGUAACCUGAAGAGUAUGUAACCUGAAGCGUAUGUAACCCAGGUACCACUGUACCCCUAAACAUUUCUUUUAGGGGGGAAAAGCAGUCGCUGCUGCUGCUGCUGCUGCUUUUAAAAGAUAAUAUGGAACCAAAGCAACAGUGCCAUUCCAUCACUCCUGCCUCACCCCAAGAACCAGCCACAAAGUACAAAAUUCCACCCUGCUUGUUGUCUCCCCCACCUCUUCUCCCUUUGGCACAUGUUUGCAUUAUCGAGACAUUCCUCUUUCCCCUCCCUCUCUCCCCUCUCACACUCCCUCCCCUUUCUAUCCUUAUCUCCUAUCUGCAGCGAUUUGCCAUCUUAUGGUAUUAACUUUUCAGACACAGGGAUACAGCUUUCCACGCGCUCCCAACUGCGCCUGCCUCUCGCAUCUUCCUCCCAUCUCUCUCUGUUCUCCUUAGCUAUCUUUUAAUGACGGUGGAGUACCCAGAACGGCAGAAGAAAGGAAGC